CCUACGGGAGGCAGCAGUGGGGAAUAUUGCACAAUGGGCGCAAGCCUGAUGCAGCGACGCCGCGUGAGGGAUGACGGCCUUCGGGUUGUAAACCUCUUUCAGCAGGGACGAAGCGCAAGUGACGGUGCCUGCAGAAGAAGCACCGGCCAACUACGUGCCAGCAGCCGCGGUAAUACGUAGGGUGCAAGCGUUGUCCGGAAUUACUGGGCGUAAAGAGCUCGUAGGCGGUUUGUCGCGUCGUCUGUGAAAACCAGCAGCUCAACUGUUGGCUUGCAGGCGAUACGGGCAGACUUGAGUAUUUCAGGGGAGACUGGAAUUCCUGGUGUAGCGGUGAAAUGCGCAGAUAUCAGGAGGAACACCGGUGGCGAAGGCGGGGUCUCUGGGAAAUAACUGACGCUGAGGAGCGAAAGCGUGGGUAGCGAACAGGAUUAGAUACCCUGGUAGUCCACGCCGUAAACGGUGGGCGCUAGGUGUGGGUUUCCUUCCUACGGGAUCCGUGCCGUAGCUAACGCAUUAAGCGCCCCGCCUGGGGAGUACGGCCGCAAGGCUAAAACUCAAAGGAAUUGACGGCGNGAGAGNGCGACGACGACGACGAGGGAGGAGG
rnacentral:rRNA from 1 species